UGAUUCUUAAAAAUUUUUUUUUUUGUUAAAAAUAUGUGGUUAUGAAUGACUAUAAAUAAAUUAAUAUUUUUGUAAGUUUUUAAAUGUUCAAAUACAAUUGAAAAAUGUAUAAAGCAUCCCAGUGCUGGUAGUGUUUCUGUGGAAGUGGUGGGAUUUUUCAUAUUUAUUCCUAAAUAUAAUUUUUCUUCUUGAUUCUAUUAUUAAAAAUAUAUAGAUAUGUGUGUCUAUAUUUUGUUUAAUAAUUUUAUAGAUAUUUAAAUAUUGGAGACUGCAAAAAUACUAUUGAAAAUACAUUAAGUGAUUGCAUUGCAUCCUCUGCACUAUUAGUAAGUCCUAUGGUAGCAGCAGUAUCAAUCAUAUUUAUUCCUAAAAAAUACCUAUUUCUUUGUAAUUCUUUUAUUAAAAAUAUAUUGAUAUGGAUGAAUGUUCAUAUUUAAAUACACUCAAAAAUUAUUUAUUGGGAGCUUCACAAAUAAGAUCAGGAAUGAGAAGGCUAAUUUUUUUAAUGAAUAAAUAUGGCAGCCAUUACUGUACACAACUAAAUUUCUGUUCAAUAUUAAUUGAUGAUAUCUAUAUACCAAAUAUUUCUGAUCAACUAUUUGCGUGUUUUCUGAUAGUUCUGAUCAUUUAGAAAAUAUGGGAUAAUUAAUUCAAUUUUGGACAUCAGACUUGUAUUCCCAGCAGUUGUGUGUGUGCUGGUCUACUUUUCACAACCUUCAGUUGCAGCAAAAUUUCUGAAGCCUGUUUUAAUUUUGAUUGUUUUAUCAUUUAAACUUUGUUAAAUAUUUUUGCUAAGAUUUCAAUAUUUUUUUGAAUAUUUUCUGCUG
rnacentral:lncRNA from 1 species